CCCAUUUUGCAAAAGAGGAAACUGAAGCAGAAGUUAUGACUUGUCUUGGGUCACAUAAUUUAGAUUAAAUUUGAAUUUACAUCUUCCUAAUUCCAAGUCCAGCACUCUUUCCACUGUACCCAAGCUAUCUAAUGGAAUUAUGGAAAUAAAGCUGAAGAGUAGGUUGUGGCUAUCUUGCGUACUAGGAUAAAGAGUCUGGAUUUUAUUCUGUAGAUAACGGUACAGAUUUUGUGGCUUUACUUUUUUAAACAACAUGUCUGCAACUUUUCCAGUGAACUAAAGAAGGAAAAGGCCCAUCUCUGACCUGGAUUGAGGAGCACAUCCUUCAAGAUGCCAGUAUCCAAUAUCAGAAAUUCCCUUCACAAGUACAACCAUCCAUGCCUUUGCAUCUCCUUUGAGUUUUGUCCAUGUCUUUCUUGAAUCCUCCAUAAAGGAUUUACUCUGAAUGUUAGAGAUUCUCUCUCUAGAUUUGCUUUUACUUCAAUCCAGUGUUUCUUCCUCUUCUAAUGUGAUUGCUCCUUUCCCUCCACCCCCACACUCCACUCCUUCUGGGACCCAGAUGUUCUCAAUAAAUUUAUUUAUGUCA